UCCCCGAAGCCGGGCUCCCGGGUUCCGCUUCCACAGGGCCGCCCCCUCUCCUCCGAGAUCCAACGCCUCGCCCCUCGAGUGGACCCAGAGGGACCUGGAACGCAUGGAGAACAUUCGAUUCUGCCGCCAAUACCUGGUGUUCCAUGAUGGGGACUCAGUGGUGUUUGCAGGACCUGCAGGCAACAGUGUGGAGACCCGGGGGGAGUAAGUUUGAGGGAGGAAGCUUGUGGGCGAGGCCACAGCCGUCCGCAAUGCAAGCCUUUUAUGAAUGCUCACCAUGUGCCUAGAAGGGAGGCCAGCAGCCAGGUUCUUGCCCCCUUGGGAGCUCAUUCAGUUUCUGGUGACAUGGCCUGAUAAGCACUGGAAGCUUGCUCCAAACUCAGCCUGGACUAGAGCCCAUGGUGGCCUGGGGAGCUGCGGAGAGUAGAGUCUCUGCCUCAGGGAGGAAAGGCAAGGUGGGGCUAGAGGUGCUCCAGAAGCUGGUGUGGGGCCAGAGCCUCAAGAAUCUCUCCUAAGAGGUUGUGCCCAGUAGGGAGCAGGAAGGGGUUAUUGCAAGAUAAUCCUGACCUGUGCUACCCCAUGUCCACAGACUGCUGAGCAGAGAGUCUCCUUCAGGCACCAUGAAAGCUGUGCUGCGCAAGGCUGGAGGCACGGGCCCUGGGGAAGAGAAGCAGUUCCUGGAGGUCUGGGAGAAGAACCGGAAGCUCAAGAGCUUCAACCUGUCAGCACUGGAGAAACAUGGGCCUGUUUAUGAGGAUGACUGCUUUGGCUGCCUGUCCUGGUCGCACUCGGAGACACACUUGUUGUAUGUGGCAGAGAAGAAGCGCCCCAAGGCCGAGUCCUUCUUUCAGACCAAAGCCUUGGACGUCAGUGCCAGCGAUGAUGAGAUAGCCAGGCUGAAGAAGCCAGACCAAGCCAUCAAGGUGCUCGUGGUCAAUCCACGAAGGCCCGGCAGGGCAGCCCUGGGGCUCAGUGUGCUCCCUUCCCAUACUGUGCCUGUCAGACCUGGGGAGGCACUAGCUUCUAGGAAGCAGAGCAGGUCCUAUAGACAGGCUG
rnacentral:sRNA from 1 species